AAGUCGUAACAAGGUUUCCGUAGGUGAACCUGCGGAAGGAUCAUUACUGAGAUAGGGUUCAUUCGAGCCCGACCUCCAACCCUUUGUCUACCAAACCUCUGUUGCCUCGGCGGGCCGCCGGCCCCUUUUACAGGGGGCCGCCGUCGGCCUUUGCGCUCUCGAGCGCCCGCCGCAGGACUAUUAAACUCUUUCUGAAAUUAGUAUUCUGAGUGGUAUUUAAUGCUUCAAAAAAAAU
rnacentral:misc_RNA from 1 species